AGUGAACGCUGGCGGUAGGCCUAACACAUGCAAGUCGAACGGCAGCACAGUAAGAGCUUGCUCUUACGGGUGGCGAGUGGCGGACGGGUGAGGAAUACAUCGGAAUCUACUUUUUCGUGGGGGAUAACGUAGGGAAACUUACGCUAAUACCGCAUACGACCUACGGGUGAAAGCAGGGGAUCUUCGGACCUUGCGCGAUUGAAUGAGCCGAUGUCGGAUUAGCUAGUUGGCGGGGUAAGGGCCCACCAAGGCGACGAUCCGUAGCUGGUCUGAGAGGAUGAUCAGCCACACUGGUACUGAGACACGGUCCAGACUCCUACGGGAGGCAGCAGUGGGGAAUAUUGGACAAUGGGCGCAAGCCUGAUCCAGCCAUACCGCGUGGGUGAAGAAGGCCUUCGGGUUGUAAAGCCCUUUUGUUGGGAAAGAAAAGCAGCAGGUUAAUACCCCGCUGUUCUGACGGUACCCAAAGAAUAAGCACCGGCUAACUUCGUG
rnacentral:rRNA from 1 species